rnacentral:rRNA from 1 species
GCAUAUCAAUAAGCGGAGGAAAAGAAAAUAACAAUGAUUCCCUUAGUAACUGCGAGUGAAGAGGGACAAGCUCAAAUUUUAAAUCUGUUAGGUUUACCUAAUCGAGUUGUAAUUUGUAGAAGCGUUUUCUGCGUAAUUUGACCAGUCCAAGUCCUAUUGAAUGAGGCAUCAUGGAGGGUGAUAAUCCCGUUCGAUUGAUCAUUGCGUUUUACGAUACGCUUUCAAAGAGUCAAGUUGUUUGGGAAUGCAGCUUAAAAUGGGAGGUAAAUUUCUCCUAAGGCUAAAUAACGGCGAGAGACCGAUAGUGAACAAGUACCGUGAGGGAAAGAUGAAAAGAACUUUGAAAAGAGAGUUAAAUAGUACGUGAAAUUGUUGAAAGGGAAACGAUUGAAGUCAGUCGUACCGGCGGAUAAUCAACCUUUCGGCGUGAUUAUGUGGAGCGUGAGGAGUUAAUCACUUUCAUGCCUGCAUAUUCGUGUAUUUUGGGUGUACUUAUCUGUAUGGUAGGUUAACAUCAAUUUUGGUCGUUAUAAAAUGACUGGGGAAAUGUGGCUUUGAUUUCGUAUUGAAGUGUUAUAGUCUCUGGUAGAUAUAGUGACCGGGAUUGAGGAUUGCAACGGAUACCCUUUCGGGGCUACUCGUCUGAUCUCUGAUCGUUACUCUGGUGCUGAAAGCUUGCUUACGGUUAUCAAAGUUGAUGGUUAAUAAGUUAGAACGGGUUUAAAUUCGUUUAAGGGAUGUUUGACGUAAUGGCUUUAAACGAC